rnacentral:rRNA from 1 species
GACGAACGCUGGCGGCGUGCUUAACACAUGCAAGUCGAACGGAAAGGCCCUGCUUUUGUGGGGUGCUCGAGUGGCGAACGGGUGAGUAACACGUGAGUAACCUGCCCUUGACUUUGGGAUAGCUUCAGGAAACUGGGGCUAAUACCGGAUAGGAGCUCCUGCUGCAUGGUGGGGGUUGGAAAGUUUCGGCGGUUGGGGAUGGACUCGCGGCUUAUCAGCUUGUUGGUGGGGUAGUGGCUUACCAAGGCUUUGACGGGUAGCCGGCCUGGGGGGGUGACCGGCCACAUUGGGACUGAGAUACGGCGCAGACUCCUACGGGAGGCAGCAGUGGGGAAUAUUGCACAAUGGGCGGAAGCCUGAUGCGGCAACGCCGCGUGCGGGAUGACGGCCUUCGGGUUGUAAACCGCUUUCGCCUGUGACGAAGCGUGAGUGACGGUAAUGGGUAAAGAAGCACCGGCUAACUACGUG